CUAGAACUCCAGUGCGACACAAAAGGGAACGCGAACGAAGGCAGAGUCCAACUGAACCCCGUAGCCCGAGCGUUCGUACCGAAAAGAGCUGCCGCAGCAGAUGCACGAGCAAAAAUAACCGCCAUAGCAGAAGAUCAAGAAGAAGAUAUGUGAACACUAUAUAAUAUUUACACAUUAACACUAGAUUCAUUUUCAAGUUUUGUUUUCCACGAACACGAUAGUUUAGAAGCGCAGUUCCUUAGGGAACAUACAAUUUAGCUCCUAACUUGCAUGGGGGAGUGUGUCGGAGACUGUCUAUAUAUAUCUUAAUAUUUGUGAUUUAAUAGCAGGAUUAAUUAUUACUUUAAUUAGGGACGAACAUUGCAUGAUUGACACAUUUAUAUUAUUAUGAAGAGGAGUUAAAAGAUAGGAAUGUAGUGACUGUGUGACUGUGAGAGAGACUAGACCACGUAUACAACUGUGAGUGAUUUUCAAUAAUAUAAUUUUAUAAAACCGAAUUUGCUUCGUCGAGAGUUUGAUUGUUCAAUACCUUUUAGUAAGGGUCAAUUUACUAAAAUCCCUGGGCUAUCUUUCCUUCCGCGCGCCAUCUUUUCUUCCUUCUUAUUUCAGGGAGGGUUAAGGUAAGGCCUGACGCGGGCAAAGCUGGGAGUUGUAAGCUGCAGGUUGCAUACGACAGUUUUAGGCAAAAGUUGCGUAGUAUAAAUCGGCCUUUAAACAGAUAUUAAAUGGUUAUUCCAAUCAUUUUGUUUUCUAGGUAACAUGCAGAUAUGUGGAUAUACAGUAUGAAAACUGCACCUUAACUGAAAUACUUCAUGGCACCAAUGUUCUUGUGUAUGGCAGAAGUAAAUUAACUGUUUUUUUUAGUCAACCUCGGUUAACGUAAUUGGAAUUCGACUGAAUAUGAUCUCCAUAAUAUGAAAGUAGAACAGGACUGGAAUUUAUUUCAAAUAUCUGUAACAACACCUAUAAAUCACUAUGUACAAAUAGCUUUGCCUCAAAGGUUCAGUAUUUCUAUAAAUGUUCUCAAAACGCUUUAAUAACAUGGCUAUAUGAUGUAUUGCCAAAUGUAAUAAACCACAGCAGACAUUUAGAAAAUUACCAGUGGUAUACGUCG